UACGUAGGCAGCGAGCGUUGUUCGGAGUUACUGGGCGUAAAGCGUGCGUAGGCGGUGUCUUAAGUUUGUUGUGAAAUCUCCCGGCUUAACCGGGAGGUGCGGCGAAUACUGAGAUGCUGGAGUGCCGGAGAGGUAAGCGGAAUUCCUGGUGUAGCGGUGAAAUGCGUAGAUAUCAGGGAGGAACACCUGCGGUGUAGACGGCUUACUGGACGGUAACUGACGCUGAGGCACGAAAGCGUGGGUAGCAAACAGG
rnacentral:rRNA from 1 species